rnacentral:rRNA from 1 species
GACGUAGGGCGCGAGCGUUGUCCGGAUUUAUUGGGCGUAAAGAGCUCGUAGGCGGCUCGUUGCGUCGGCUGUGAAAACCCACAGCUUAACUGUGGGCCUGCAGCCGAUACGGGCGAGCUAGAGUUCGGUAGGGGAGACUGGAAUUCCUGGUGUAGCGGUGAAAUGCGCAGAUAUCAGGAGGAACACCGGUGGCGAAGGCGGGGUCUCUGGGCCGAAAUUGACGCUGAGGAGCGAAAGCGUGGGGAGCAAACAGG